UGCCCAUGAGUGCGGAAAGACCAUGGGAAAGACCCCCCCCCGUAAAGCAGUUUGGUCCCCCACACUUUGAAAAUGUCUCCUGCGCCCCUGAAAGGGUUAAAUAUGAUUUCAUCCUAUAUUGUGGACUCGAUCUCUCGUUUCAUACAAAUGCAGCUGCUGCCAUUUUGUGACUAUUGUUUUGUUUACUGUAACAAACAGAUACAUCAGCCUUCAGGACCCGGAACAAACCUUUCUCAAGCGUAUAUCAUUUCCUCAAGAAUCCGUGUGCAUGGGACCCUGAAAAUGAAGGUAUUACUUCCUUCCCAGUAAGUGUGUUAUGUGCUUUGGUGCAAGAAAAGUAACCCAGAAUCAUUCUGAAAGUUUGAGCUCUCUUCAGUCGAGACAUCUUCAUUUCUCUCCAACACAAGCUUUCAGAAUCUGAAAGGAUCUCAUCAGAAACUGGACUACAUAUUGAGUAGAGAGCUGCGAAGGAGGAAGUUAACACAGGACGUGGUCAUGCAGAAGGCAGGAAUUAUGCCACGUAAGAUGAUUGACAGCUCUAGAUCGAAUUUGCACAGCUGUGAUCAUAACUUGCGCAAAACCCGGAACAGGAGAGACAGACAGCGCUGUGUACACUGUUUUAGCUCAUCAGUUCACAUAAUUCAGAGGGAAAUGAAUAGAAAUGGUAUUCUGUAUGACAAAAUAUUGUGCAAACAUGUGAGAAUAAAUUAAUAUUUCUCCAAAUAUGCACACUUUUGGACUAUACAGACGCUAAGUCUACAGUCUAGUGCAUAAAUGUGAAAACAAAUAAACCAGAACAGAUGUGACUAAAUGUCUAUGUGUGUUUUUCUUCUAUUCAAAAUAUAGUGAGUUACCAAUUUAUUAUUUUGCACUCCUGGCAUAAAUUACUGUAUUUGAGCAAUUGAGUUUUAUCAUAAACAGUGGUCAGUUAUCAAAGCUGGAGCGA